AAAGUACUCCCUCCAUCCCAAAAUUCUUGUCUUAGAUUUGUCUAGAUAUGGAUGUAUCAAGUCACAUUUUAGUAUUAGAUACAUCCGUAUCUAGACAAAUCUAAGACAAGAAAUUUGGGACAGAGGGAGUAGUNN
rnacentral:pre_miRNA from 1 species